rnacentral:rRNA from 1 species
UACGUAGGUGGCGAGCGUUGUCCGGAUUUACUGGGCGUAAAGGGCUUGUAGGCGGUCCGUUAAGUCCGAUGUGAAAUCUCCCGGCUUAACUGGGAGGGUCGUCGGAUACUGGGUGUCUUGAGUGGGUGAGGGGCAGCGGAAUUCCCGGUGUAGCGGUGAAUGCGUAGAUAUCGGGAGGAACACCUAUGGCGAAAGCAGCUGCUUGGGCCUUUACUGACGCUAAGACUCGAAGCUAGGGAGCAACAGG